rnacentral:rRNA from 1 species
UACGAGGGGGGCGAGCGUUGUUCGGAAUUAUUGGGCGUAAAGGGUGCGUAGGCGGUUUGGUAAGUCUUGUGUGAAAUCUCCAGGCUCAACUUGGAGUCUGCACGAGAAACUGCCGGGCUUGAGUGUGGGAGAGGUGAGUGGAAUUCCUGGUGUAGCGGUGAAAUUCGUAGAUAUUGGGAAGAACACCGGUGGCGAAGGCGGCGAGCUGGUCCAUUACUGACGCUGAGGCGCGACAGCGUGGGGAGCAAACAGG